CCUACGGGGGGCAGCAGUGGGGAAUAUUGCACAAUGGGGGGAACCCUGAUGCAGCGACGCCGCGUGAGUGAAGAAGUAUUUCGGUAUGUAAAGCUCUAUCAGCAGGGAAGAAAAUGACGGUACCUGACUAAGAAGCCCCGGCUAACUACGUGCCAGCAGCCGCGGUAAUACGUAGGGGGCAAGCGUUAUCCGGAUUUACUGGGUGUAAAGGGAGCGUAGACGGCGAUGCAAGUCAGAAGUGAAAGCCCGCGGCUCAACUGCGGGACUGCUUUUGAAACUGUAUAGCUUGAGUGCAGGAGAGGUAAGCGGAAUUCCUAGUGUAGCGGUGAAAUGCGUAGAUAUUAGGAGGAACACCAGUGGCGAAGGCGGCUUACUGGACUGUAACUGACGUUGAGGCUCGAAAGCGUGGGGAGCAAACAGGAUUAGAUACCC
rnacentral:rRNA from 1 species